rnacentral:rRNA from 1 species
CCUACGGGGGGCUGCAGUGGGGAAUAUUGGACAAUGGGCGAAAGCCUGAUCCAGCCAUGCCGCGUGUGUGAAGAAGGCCUUCGGGUUGUAAAGCACUUUCAGUGGGGAAGAAAGCCUUGGGGCUAAUACCCUCGAGGAAGGACAUCACCCACAGAAGAAGCACCGGCUAACUCCGUGCCAGCAGCCGCGGUAAUACGGAGGGUGCGAGCGUUAAUCGGAAUUACUGGGCGUAAAGCGCGCGUAGGCGGUCUGAUAAGCCGGUUGUGAAAGCCCCGGGCUCAACCUGGGAACGGCAUCCGGAACUGUCAGGCUAGAGUGCAGGAGAGGAAGGUAGAAUUCCCGGUGUAGCGGUGAAAUGCGUAGAGAUCGGGAGGAGUACCAGUGGCGAAGGCGGCCUUCUGGACUGACACUGACGCUGAGGUGCGAAAGCGUGGGUAGCAAACAGGAUUAGAUACCCGAGUAGUC